UACGUAGGGGGCGAGCGUUGUCCGGAAUCAUUGGGCGUAAAGCGCGUGUAGGCGGCUUGAUAAGUCCGGUGUGAAACCUUGGGGCUCAACCCCAAGCCUGCACUGGAUACUGCCGAGCUAGAGUCCGGGAGGGGAGAGCGGAAUUCCUAGUGUAGCGGUGAAAUGCGCAGAUAUUAGGAAGAACACCGGUGGCGAAGGCGGCUCUCUGGAACGGUACUGACGCUGAGACGCGAAAGCGUGGGGAGCGAACAGG
rnacentral:rRNA from 1 species